rnacentral:tRNA from 1 species
GAGGGUGGAGCUCAGUGGUAUAGAGUGCCUGCUUAGCAUGCAUGAGGUCUUGGGUUCAGUCCUCAGUACCUCCA